rnacentral:lncRNA from 7 species
CAGCUUUUCAAGGUGUAUCACUGCAGUCUCUCCAUGCAAAGCAGCCCGUGGCUAGCCUAUCACCUACAAAAUGACUUCAGAAAGUGAAAUUCACUUGAAUACAACUUUAAUUCAAAGCUGCACACAAAAGAAGCUUUAGAGAUGGAAGGAAAUCCUGCCCUACAAUCAUAGGAAGAGGAGCACUACAUUCUCAAGCAGGAUGCUGUGAAUGUUUCUCUCAGCCAUUGCUGCAGUAGGCGUUAUCUCUGUGAUUAUUUCUGCUACGACCAGAAGAGGGCAUUCUUUCUCUUUGGAACCCUGACACGAAGAAUGAAACAAAAGCUGUUGUAAAACCUAGGUACAUUUUGCCACUAUUCUUUUGCAUUUUUUACUAAAACUUUUUGAAGUUUAAAAAUUGAACUGUUGAAAAAGGAGGUGAUAGUUCACUCUUGCAGGUUUUUUUGAAGCGAGUUUAAGGCUUGCUAUACAAAUUUCUUAGUGCUAUGUGGAUUCUGUAAGACAUGCUCUAUUUCCUCUACCAAGAGUAAAUAAUUUGC